rnacentral:rRNA from 1 species
GAUCCUGCCAGUAGUCAUAUGCUUGUCUCAAAGAUUAAGCCAUGCAUGUCUAAGUACAAGCUGUGUUCACACGGCGAGACCGCGGACGGCUCAUUAAAUCAGUCUUUGUCCAAAUGGGCUAGUCCUUGCUUACUUGGAUAACUGUGGUAAUUCCAGAGCUAAUACAUGCAACUCAUACCCUGAUGGGAGGCUUCACUGUUAUUGCGCUUGUCGCUUUGCGGAGUAGUUCUCUUUCCUGACGGGUGCUUUUAUUAGACCAAACUGCUGGGGGUCAGUCGCGGUCAUACUCUGUUGCUGCUGAGUUUCACUUCUCCACUGGGCACCAGUGUCCUUUGCGGGUUGUGGGCUCUCACACUGAGACCAUGCCCUUCUGAUCCGGCUCGCAAUGUGGUGACUCUGGAUAACCAAUUAUGACGAGCGCACGUACUCCUCCUUUGAGCGGGACGGCGCUGCCACUUUCGAGUGUCUGCCUUAUCAGCUGUCAAUCGCUCGUUACACGCGACCGAUGGCUUUGACGGGUAACGGAGAAUCAGGGUUCGAUUCCGGAGAGGCAGCCUGAGAGACGGCUACCACGUCCAAGGACGGCAGCAGGCACGCAAAUUACCCAAUCCCAGUACCUGGGGGAGGUAGUGACGAAAUCUAACGAUGCAGGCGCCCUUUCAGGGCCCUGCAAUCGGAAUGAGCACUUUCUAAACAACCUGUUGAGAACCUACUGAAGGGCAAGUCUGGUGCCAGCAGCCGCG